rnacentral:lncRNA from 1 species
AGACAGGUGUGGAGGAUGAGAAGCGGGCCACAGGAUGGGAAGGGAAUCUGUGUGGAGACGGUGCCCUAAACAUGCUGCCUUGAGGAGGGACCUCUGCAUGGGGUGGCCGGGCACAGCCAGAUGUCCCUGGAGACAGCGCCAUCUGGUGGAAAUUCCUGUAACCAUAGAGAUGUUCUGUCUGUGCCGUCCAACAUGGGAGCCAUGCAGGACACAUGGUGACUGAGCACUGGGACCGUGUGCCGCGUGGCCAAGAGCAGCUCAGCUCUAAAGUCUCCUCCAGCUUUAUGAUGUCACUUCCUGUAUCUUCUCUACACAUUCUUUCCUUCAGCCUGUUGUUUGUAAGUUUUUAUGUAGGAAAGUAGAAAAUUCAGAAUAUGUUUCAUCAGGUUUUUGUUUGGCAAAGUGUCAACAUGUUUAUAACAGAGUUAAAGAUAAAGGAAA